GACGGAGGAUGCAAGUGUUAUCCGGAAUCACUGGGCGUAAAGCGUCUGUAGGUGGUUCGAAAAGUCCACUGUUAAAAAUUGAGGCUUAACUCAAAGAUGCCGUGGAAACUUUCAAACUAGAGUAUGGUAGGGGUAGAGGGAAUUUCCAGUGGAGCGGUGAAAUGCGUAGAUAUUGGAAAGACCACCGAUGGCGAAGGCACUCUACUGGGCCAUUACUGACACUGAGAGACGAAAGCUAGGGGAGCAAAUGGG
rnacentral:rRNA from 1 species